CCUACGGGCGGCAGCAGUAGGGAAUAUUGCUCAAUGGGGGAAACCCUGAAGCAGCAACGCCGCGUGGAGGAUGAAGGUUUUCGGAUUGUAAACUCCUUUUGUUAGAGAAGAUAAUGACGGUAUCUAACGAAUAAGCACCGGCUAACUCCGUGCCAGCAGCCGCGGUAAUACGGAGGGUGCAAGCGUUACUCGGAAUCACUGGGCGUAAAGAGCGCGUAGGGGGGAUAGCAAGUCAGAUGUGAAAUCCUAUGGCUUAACCAUAGAACUGCAUUUGAAACUGUUAUUCUAGAGUAUGGGAGAGGUAGGUGGAAUGCUUGGUGUAGGGGUAAAAUGCGUAGAGAUCAAGAGGAAUACUCAUUGCGAAGGCGACCUGCUAGAACAUAACUGACGCUGAUGCGCGAAAGCGUGGGGAGCAAACAGGAUUAGAUACCCCUGUAGUC
rnacentral:rRNA from 1 species